UGGGGAAUAUUGCACAAUGGGCGCAAGCCUGAUGCAGCAACGCCGCGUGAAUGAUGAAGGCCUUCGGGUCGUAAAGUUCUGUCCUAGGGGAAGAAGAAGUGACGGUACCCUGGGAGGAAGCCCCGGCUAACUACGUGCCAGCAGCCGCGGUAAUACGUAGGGGGCAAGCGUUAUCCGGAAUUACUGGGCGUAAAGGGAGCGUAGGCGGUUUGACAAGCCAGCGGUGAAAGGCAAUAGCUUAACUAUUGUAAGCCGUUGGAACUGUCUAACUUGAGUGCAGGAGAGGCAAGUGGAAUUCCUAGUGUAGCGGUGAAAUGCGUAGAUAUUAGGAGGAACACCAGUGGCGAAGGCGACUUGCUGGACUGUAACUGACGCUGAGGCUCGAAAGCGUGGGGAGCAA
rnacentral:rRNA from 1 species